rnacentral:rRNA from 1 species
GACGAACGCUGGCGGCGCGCCUAACACAUGCAAGUCGAACGGAGAGAAAGACAGCUUGCUGGAUUUCUCUUAGUGGCGGACGGGUGAGUAACACGUGAGCAACCUGCCCCUCAGAGAGGGAUAACGUUUGGAAACGAACGCUAAUACCUCAUGACACUUUUGGUCGGCAUCGACCUUAAGUCAAAGAUUUAUCGCUGAGGGAUGGGCUCGCGUCCGAUUAGGUAGUUGGUGAGAUAACAGCCCACCAAGCCGACGAUCGGUAGCCGGACUGAGAGGUUGAACGGCCACAUUGGGACUGAGACACGGCCCAGACUCCUACGGGAGGCAGCAGUGGGGGAUAUUGCACAAUGGGGGAAACCCUGAUGCAGCGACGCCGCGUGAGGGAAGACGGUUUUCGGAUUGUAAACCUCUGUCUUCGGGGACGAACAAAUGACGGUACCCGAGGAGGAAGCCACGACUAACUACGUGCCAGCCGCCGCGGUAAAAC